AACGAACGCUGGCGGCAUGCCUAACACAUGCAAGUCGAACGAGACCUUCGGGUCUAGUGGCACACGGGUGCGUAACGCGUGGGAACCUGCCCUUAGGUUCGGAAUAACUCCCCGAAAGGGGUGCUAAUACCGGAUAAUGUCUUCGGACCGAAGAUUUAUCGCCUUUGGAUGGGCCCGCGUUGGAUUAGCUAGUUGGUAGGGUAAAAGCCUACCAAGGCGACGAUCCAUAGCUGGUCUGAGAGGAUGAUCAGCCACACUGGGACUGAGACACGGCCCAGACUCCUACGGGAGGCAGCAGUGGGGAAUAUUGGACAAUGGGCGAAAGCCUGAUCCAGCAAUGCCGCGUGAGUGAUGAAGGCCUUAGGGUUGUAAAGCUCUUUUACCCGGGAUGAUAAUGACAGUACCGGGAGAAUAAGCUCCGGCUAACUCCGUG
rnacentral:rRNA from 1 species